UGGGGAAUAUUGCACAAUGGGCGAAAGCCUGAUGCAGCGACGCCGCGUGAGGGAUGACGGCCUUCGGGUUGUAAACCUCUUUCAGCAGGGACGAAGUGCAAGUGACGGUACCUGCAGAAGAAGCACCGGCUAACUACGUGCCAGCAGCCGCGGUAAUACGUAGGGUGCAAGCGUUGUCCGGAAUUACUGGGCGUAAAGAGUUCGUAGGCGGUUUGUCGCGUCGUUUGUGAAAACCAGCAGCUCAACUGCUGGCUUGCAGGCGAUACGGGCAGACUUGAGUACUGCAGGGGAGACUGGAAUUCCUGGUGUAGCGGUGAAAUGCGCAGAUAUCAGGAGGAACACCGGUGGCGAAGGCGGGUCUCUGGGCAGUAACUGACGCUGAGGAACGAAAGCGUGGGUAGCGAACAGG
rnacentral:rRNA from 1 species